rnacentral:rRNA from 1 species
CCUAAGGUAGCGAAAUUCCUUGUCGGGUAAGUUCCGACCCGCACGAAAGGCGUAACGAUUUGGGCACUGUCUCAACAACAGACUCGGUGAAAUUGUAAUUCCGGUGAAGAUGCCGGAUACCUGCGACAGGACGGAAAGACCCCAUGGAGCUUUACUGUAGCUUGACAUUGGGUCUUGGUACUACAUGUACAGGAUAGGUGGGAGGCUUUGAAACCAGGACGCCAGUUUUGGCGGAGCCAUCCUUGGGAUACCACCCUUGUAGUACUGGGACUCUAACCAUAGGCCAUGAAUCUGGUCUUGGGACACUGUCAGGUGGGCAGUUUGACUGGGGCGGUCGCCUCCCAAAAGGUAACGGAGGCGCUCAAAGGUUCUCUCAGUACGGUCGGAAAUCGUACGUAGAGUGUAAAGGCAAAAGAGAGCUUGAUUGCAAGACAUACAGGUCGAGCAAGGAUGAAAAUCGGACUUAGUGAUCCGGUGGUUCUGCGUGGAAGGGCCAUCGCUCAACGGAUAAAAGCUACCCUGGGGAUAACAGGCUUAUCUCCCCCAAGAGUCCACAUCGACGGGGAGGUUUGGCACCUCGAUGUCGGCUCAUCACAUCCUGGGGCUGUAGUAGGUCCCAAGGGUUGGGCUGUUCGCCCAUUAAAGUGGUACGCGAGCUGGGUUCAGAACGUCGUGAGACAGUUCGGUCCCUAUCCGUCGCAGGCGUAGGAAAUUUGAGAAGACCUGUCCUUAGUACGAGAGGACCGGGAUGGACGUACCUCUGGUGUACCAGUUGUCCUGCCAAGGGCAUGGCUGGGUAGCUAUGUACGGAAUGGAUAAGCGCUGAAAGCAUCUAAGCGCGAAGCCAACUUCAAGAUAAGAUUUCCCACCGCAAGGGUAAGACCCCAGAAAGACUAUCUGGUUGAUAGGUCGAAGGUGUAAGUGCAGCAAUGUAUUUAGCUUAUCGAUACUAAUAGGUCGAGGACUUGACCAA